rnacentral:rRNA from 1 species
GGAGGAAAGUAGGGGAUCGCAAGACCUUGCGCUUUUUGAGCGGCCGAUGCCUGAUUAGCUAGUUGGUAAGGUAAUGGCUUGCCAAGGCAACGAUCAGUAGCUGGUCUGAGAGGACGACCAGCCACACUGGGACUGAGACACGGCCCAGACUCCUACGGGAGGCAGCAGUGGGGAAUUUUGGACAAUGGGCGAAAGCCUGAUCCAGCCAUGCCGCGUGAGUGAAGAAGGCCUUCGGGUUGUAAAGCUCUUUCGGUCGGGAAGAAAUAGUUGUGGCUAAUAUCCACAAUGAAUGACGGUACCGACAUAAGAAGCACCGGCUAACUACGUGCCAGCAGCCGCGGUAAUACGUAGGGUGCAAGCGUUAAUCGGAAUUAUUGGGCGUAAAGGGUGCGCAGGCGGUUGUAUAAGUCAGAUGUGAAAUCCCUGGGCUUAACCUAGGAAUUGCGUUUGAAACUACAAAGCUAG